rnacentral:rRNA from 1 species
GAUGAACGCUAGCUACAGGCUUAACACAUGCAAGUCGAGGGGAAACGACAUCGAAAGCUUGCUUUUGAUGGGCGUCGACCGGCGCACGGGUGAGUAACGCGUAUCCAACCUGCCCAUCACUUGGGGAUAACCUUGCGAAAGUAAGACUAAUACCCAAUGACGUCUCUAGAAGACAUCUGAAAGAGAUUAAAGAUUUAUCGGUGAUGGAUGGGGAUGCGUCUGAUUAGCUUGUUGCGGGGUAACGGCCCACCAAGGCGACGAUCAGUAGGGGUUCUGAGAGGAAGGUCCCCCCANAUUGGAACUGAGACACGGACCAGACUCCUACGGGGAGCAGCAGUGAGGAAUAUUGGUCAAGUGGGCGCAGGCCU